rnacentral:rRNA from 1 species
UAAUCAUUUAGAUGAAUAUAAUACAAUAGUCUAAUAAAACUGAAAACAUGAAAUUAAAACAUUUUUCCUUUUAAGUAUGGGCGAUAGAAAAAAGAAUUUGAGCAAUAUGAGAGUACCGUAAGGGAAUGUUGAAAUAGAAAUGAAACAGUUUAUUUAGGUUUAGAAAGUAAAGAUUAAGCCUUGUACCUUUUGCAUCAUGGUUUAGCUAGAAUAUUUAAGCAAAGUGCGUUGUAGUUUAAACCCCCGAAACUGGAUGAGCUACUUCGAGUCCGCUUGUUUGAGAGCUAACCCAUGUCUGUUGCAAAAGAUUGGGGAGAAUUCUGAGUAGAGGUGAUAGGCCUACCGAGUCCAGUUAUAGCUGGUUGCUUAUGAAAUGAAUAGAAGUUCAGCCUUCCAGCUCUUCAAGUCUUUUAUGGUUUACUUGUCAAGACUAAAAGAACCGGGAGAGUUAAUUGAAGGGGGAACAGCCCCUUCAACCUAGGAUACAACUUUUUUAGGUGAUUAAGGAUUAUAAGUUUAAAGGCCGUCUAUUUUAGUGGGCUUAAGAGCAGCCAUCUAUUCAAAAAGCGUUAAAGCUUAGACAGGUUUAGAUCGAUUUAUUUUAUUAACAAGUCCUAUUCCCUAGUUAUUAUUAAGCUAUUCCAUGUUUCCAUGGAAGAGAUUAUGCUAAAAUGAGUAAUAAGAAGGAAUACCCUUCUCUCUAACACAUGUGUACGUCGGCUCGAACAUGUCACCGAUAGAUAACGAACUCAAAUAAAGAGAGUCACAAGGAUUAAAUAGAAUACAAGAAAAGUCCUUGUCAUAAAAUCGUUGAUCCUACACAGGAGUGUUUAAAGAAAGACUAAAAGGGAGAGAAGGAACUCGGCAAAUUCUAGCCUCGCCUGUUUACCAAAAACAUCGCCUCUUGUUACUGUGUGUAUAAGAGGUUCCGCCUGCCCUGUGACCACAGGUUUAACGGCCGCGGUAUACUGACCGUGCAAAGGUAGCGUAAUCACUUGUCUUUUAAAUGGAGACCUGUAUGAAUGGCAUAACGAGGGCUAAACUGUCUCCUCUCCUCAGUCAAUGAAAUUAAUCUCCCCGUGCAGAAGCGGGGCUAUCGCUAUAAGACGAGAAGACCCCAUGGAGCUUUAGGCAUCUAGGAAAUUCAUAUAAAAUAACUACUUCACCAGAAAGAAUAAUGUCUUUUUCUAUUGCUUUUGGUUGGGGCGACCGAGGAGGAAAAACAAGCCUCCAUGUGGAAUGAGAGUAUUUCUCUUACAGCUAUGGCUUACCUGCCUACGCAACAGUAUCUGACCUUAGUGAUCCGGCCCUUAGGCCGAUCAGCGAACCGAGUUACCCUGGGGAUAACAGCGCAAUCCUUUCCAAGAGUUCUUAUCGACGAGGGGGUUUACGACCUCGAUGUUGGAUCAGGACAUCCUGAUGGUGUAGCCGCUAUUAAGGGUUCGUUUGUUCAACGAUUAAAGUCCUACGUGAUCUGAGUUCAGACCGGAGUAAUCCAGGUCAGUUUCUAUCUAUAACGUGGUCUAUCCUAGUACGAAAGGACCGGAGAGACUAGGCCGCUGCACGAAGUAAGCCUAACCCCCAAUCAAUGAAAUCAACUAAAAUGGGAAGGGGGCAUAUUUAGACUUGCCAUAGAUAAUGGCAG